GUCCGGUGAUGAUACCAAGGCGAAUACGAGCUCACUGAAGGAGGGCUGGGUGUUUUUAGCCUUGACUGGCAGGUAAUCUUGGCAGUUCAGUGAAGGGUUGCUGUUCUGCUGUAAGGGCCUGCCUACAGUGACUUGGCCUAACCCAAAUUGUUAUUCCUUUAAAAAGUUAUUGUGGCGUACUUUGGGUUAUGCUGACAGUGUGUGUGUGUGUCUGUGUGUGUGGUGUGCAAAGGGUCAGAAACUUACCCAGCUCUCAUAUUUAUUCAGUGAGGCAUGAGUGUGUUCUUUGGUAAUCUGAGGGCA
rnacentral:snoRNA from 1 species